CCCCACUGCUAUCGGGAUGGGACUAAGACAUGCUAGUCGAGCGUCUCCAAGCUAUGAAAGAGACGCGGCACACAGCUCAGUAACACGUGGCUAACCUGCCCUUGGGACAAGGACAACCCCGGGAAACUGGGGCUAAUCCCUGAUAGGUGAGAACUCCUGGAAUGGAUUCUCGCUGAAAGGACGUUUAGACCAUGCUUCUAGGCGUCGCCCAAGGAGGGGGCCGCGACCGAUCAGGUUGUUGGUGAGGUAACGGCUCACCAAGCCUUUAACCGGUACGGGCCGUGAGAGCGGAAGCCCGGAGAUGGGCACUGAGACAAGGGCCCAGGCCCUACGGGGCGCAGCAGUCGCGAAAACUCCGCAAUACACGAAAGUGUGACGGGGCUAUCCCGAGUGCCAUCUGCUGAGGAUGGCUUUUCCCCAGUGUAUAAAGCUGGGGGAAUAAGGAGAGGGCAAGCCUGGUGUCAGCCGCCGCGGUUAUACCAGCUCUCCGAGUGUGGGGAUGUUAUUGGGCCUAAAGCAUUCGUAGCCUGCUUGGCAAGUCCUCCGUUAAAUCCAACGAUUCAAUCGUUGGGCUGCGGGGGAUACUGUCCGGCUAGGGGGCGGGAGAGGCCGACGGUAUCCCCGGGGUAGGGGUGAAAUCCUAUAAUCCCGGGAGGACCACCAGUGGCGAAGGCUGUCGGCUAGAACGUGCUCGACGGUGAGGGAUGAAAGCUGGGGGAGCGAACCGGAUUAGAUACCCGGGUAGUCCCAGCUGUAAACGAUGCAGGCUAGGUGUUGGCGCGGCUACGUGCCGCUCCAGUGCCGCAGGGAAGCCGUUAAGCCUGCCGCCUGGGAAGUACGGCCGCAAGGCUGAAACUUAAAGGAAUUGGCGGGGGAGCACCACAAGGUGUGAAGCUUGCGGUUUA
rnacentral:rRNA from 1 species